AUGCAAGUCUAACGGGAAAGUCGGCUUCGGCUGGCAAGUACCGUGGCGAACGGUUGAGUAACACGUGGGUAAUCUAACCUCGAGUUUGGGAUAACCUUGCGAAAGCGGGGCUAAUACCGAAUAAGACCACGCUUGGUUCGCCAAGUGCGGUAAAAGGCGGCCUCUUCUUGAAAGCUGUCACUUGAGGAUGAGCCCGCGGCCUAUUAGCUAGUUGGUGGGGUAAUGGCCUACCAAGGCGACGAUGGGUAGCCGGCCUGAGAGGGUGUACGGCCACACUGGCACUGAGAUACGGGCCAGACUCCUACGGGAGGCAGCAGUGGGGAAUUUUGCGCAAUGGGGGAAACCCUGACGCAGCAACGCCGCGUGAGUGAUGAAGGCCUUCGGGUCGUAAAGCUCUUUUAGUGGGGAAGAAUCCCACCCGGGCUAAUACCUCGGGUGUCUGACGGUACCCACAGAAAAAGUUCCGGCUAACUACGUGCCAGCAGCCGCGGUAAUACGUAGGGAGCAAGCGUUGUUCGGAAUUAUUGGGCGUAAAGAGCGCGUAGGCGGUUCGGUAAGUCUGACGUGAAAUCCCAGAGCUUAACUCUGGAACUGCGUUGGAUACUGCCGAGCUUGAGUGUGGGAGAGGAGAGUGGAAUUCCCAGUGUAGAGGUGAAAUUCGUAGAUAUUGGGAGGAACACCCGUGGCGAAGGCGGCUCUCUGGACCACAACUGACGCUGAGGCGCG
rnacentral:rRNA from 1 species